AAGUCGUAACAAGGUUUCCGUAGGUGAACCUGCGGAAGGAUCAUUAUCGUUGGGCUUCGGCCCAUUCGAGAUAACACCCUUGCCUUUUUGAGUACCUUUUCGUUUCCUCGGCAGGCUCGCCUGCCAACGGGGACCCUUCAAAACGCUUUGUAAUACCUGUAACUGUCUGAUAUAACAAGCAAAAAUCAAAACUUUCAACAACGGAUCUCUUGGUUCUG
rnacentral:misc_RNA from 1 species